AUACGGAGGAUGCGAGCGUUAUCCGGAUUCAUUGGGUUUAAAGGGUGCGUAGGCGGAAUAAUAAGUCAGGGGUGAAAGUUUGCGGCUCAACCGUAAAAUUGCCUUCGAUACUGUUAUUCUUGAGUACACGCGAGGUAUGCGGAAUGUGAUGUGUAGCGGUGAAAUGCUUAGAUAUAUCACAGAACACCGAUUGCGAAGGCAGCAUACUAGAGUGUCACUGACGCUGAUGCACGAAAGCGUGGGUAUCGAACAGGAUUAGAAACCCGGGUAGUCC
rnacentral:rRNA from 1 species